UGGGGAAUAUUGGACAAUGGGGGCAACCCUGAUCCAGCAAUACCGCGUGUGUGAAGAAGGCCUGCGGGUUGUAAAGCACUUUCAGUAGGGAAGAAAGGUUGACUCUUAAUACGGGUUGAAUUUGACGUUACCUACAGAAGAAGCACCGGCUAACUCCGUGCCAGCAGCCGCGGUAAUACGGAGGGUGCAAGCGUUAAUCGGAAUUACUGGGCGUAAAGCGCGCGUAGGCGGCUCGGUCAGUCAGAUGUGAAAUCCCAGGGCUUAACCUUGGAACUGCAUUUGAUACUGCCAGGCUAGAGUAUGUUAGAGGAAAGCGGAAUUCCAGGUGUAGCGGUGAAAUGCGUAGAUAUCUGGAGGAACAUCAGUGGCGAAGGCGGCUUUCUGGAACAAUACUGACGCUGAGGUGCGAAAGCGUGGGGAGCAAACA
rnacentral:rRNA from 1 species